rnacentral:rRNA from 1 species
UACGUAGGUGACGAGCGUUGUCCGGAAUUAUUGGGCGUAAAGAGCGCGCAGGUGGUUGAUUAAGUCUGAUGUGAAAGCCCACGGCUUAACCGUGGAGGGUCAUUGGAAACUGGUCGACUUGAGUGCAGAAGAGGGAAGUGGAAUUCCAUGUGUAGCGGUGAAAUGCGUAGAGAUAUGGAGGAACACCAGUGGCGAAGGCGGCUUCCUGGUCUGUAACUGACACUGAGGCGCGAAAGCGUGGGGAGCAAACAGGAUUAGAUA